rnacentral:rRNA from 1 species
AAGGGGCAGUAAGGCAUGGGUAACCUACCCCGGGGAUCGGGAUAGCCAUUCUAACGAGUGGGUAAUACCGGGCGAUGCGACGAAGGGGCAUCUCUUUGUCGUGAAAUGAAUUUCGCCUCGGGAGGGGCUCAUGUAGUAUUAGCUUGUUGGUGAGGUAACGGCUCACCAAGGCCAAGAUGCUUAGCGGGUGUGAGAGCACGACCCGCGCCACUGGCACUGAGACACUGGCCAGACUCCUACGGGAGGCUGCAGUCGAGGAUCUUCGGCAAUGGGCGCAAGCCUGACCGAGCGACGCCGCGUGUGCGAUGAAGGCCUUCGGGUUGUAAAGCACUGUCGAGGGGGAGGAAAGCCCGCAAGGGUCUGACCUAUCCCUGGAGGAAGCACGGGCUAAGUUCGUGCCAGCAGCCGCGGUAAGACGAACCGUGCGAACGUUGUUCGGAUUCACUGGGCUUAAAGGGCGCGUAGGCGGGCGGUCAAGUCGGGGGUGAAAUCUUUCAGCUUAACUGGAAAAGUGCCUCCGAUACUGAUCGCCUCGAGGGAGGUAGGGGCAUGUGGAACUUCCGGUGGAGCGGUGAAAUGCGUAGAUAUCGGAAGGAACGCCGGUGGCGAAAGCGACGUGCUGGACCUCUUCUGACGCUGAGGCGCGAAAGCUAGGGGAGCAAACGGGAUUAGAUACCCCGGUAGUCCUAGCCCUAAACGAUGGGUACUAGAUUGUGGACUUAACAUGGGUUCACAGUCGAAGCUAAAGUGUUAAGUACCCCGCCUGGGGAGUAUGGUCGCAAGGCUGAAACUCAAAGGAAUUGACGGGGGCUCACACAAGCGGUGGA